rnacentral:misc_RNA from 1 species
CGCUGUCACGGUAGGAUGUGUAUGUUUAUGUUUCCGCGAUGAUUACCGUUCGGCUACCAUAGAGGUUAUGUUUACGCGCUUUGCUCAAGAACGACGCACGUCUCUAUGCACCGGUAUUCCUGAGGGCUCCCGUCGCUUCCAAAUGUCUAUGUGCACCUCGCAACGUUAUCUCAAUGAUAUUAGAAGAAUUUCGUGAGAUUUCUUCAACAGCAUGAUUGUCCGACAUUUCGAAAAACAUUGCGACAAAAACAUAAAUGCGUAAAAGUGUUGGGUUUUAUCCGUCACAAACAUAGUUCGCGUGCGGUAGUGUUUGUGUGAAGGGCCAUCGAAAAAGGCCGCGGGGGUGGGCUUCCGAGAUGAGCUAUGAAUCUGGGCUGCCUGGUAGCCACUGUCUUCGUUCUUCAGCUGCUCCAGCUGCCUUUAGUGCUCCACGCUCUACCCUCGGUCGUCAAAAUCGGUGCUAUAUUCACUCAUGACCAAAAGGAUAGCAGCACGGAGCUGGCCUUCAAAUACGCCGUUUACAAGAUCAACAAGGAUAAAAUUAUCCUGCCGAAGACCACGCUGGAGUAUGACAUCCAGUACGUGCCAAAAGAUGAUUCCUUUCACGCGUCGAAGAAGGCGUGUCAGCAGGUCAAAUACGGCGUCCAAGCGGUUUUCGGACCCUCUGAUCCCAUCCUCGGCCAGCACAUUCAUAGCAUCUGUGAUGCCCUCGACAUUCCGCAUCUCGAGGCUAGGCUGGAUCUGGACGCGGAGGCGAAAGAAUUCAGCAUUAAUCUCUAUCCCGCACAAAGUCUACUCAACAUCGCUUAUCAGGACGUCAUGAAGUUUCUCAAUUGGACCAAGGUGGCGAUCAUCUACGAGGACGAUUAUGGAUUGGUAAAAUUGCGACAGUUGGUGAGGUCACCGAAAAUCCGUGACAUUGAAAUCAAUCUCAGACAGGCGGAUCCGAAUUCGUACAGGCAGGUCCUCUCCGAGAUGAAGAGUAAGGAAAUUCAGAAUCUCAUCGUGGACACAAAGCCUGAGCACAUGCAUCAUUUUCUACGAAUGAUCCUGCAGCUGCAGAUGAAUGAUUACAAGUACCACUACCUCUUCACGACUUUCGAUAUCGAAACCUUCGACCUCGAGGACUUCAAGUACAAUUUUGUCAAUAUCACUGCCUUUCGUUUGGUCGACGCGGACGAUCUUGGCGUACGUAGUAUCCUGAGGGACAUGGAACGUUAUCAGCCAGCAGGGAAUACGAUUCUCAAUAAAUCGAGAAUCAUUCAGGCCGAACCAGCAUUAAUAUACGACAGUGUACAGGUGUUCGCGGUGGGAUUACGUACCCUGGAGCAAUCCCAUGCGCUAAGGCCCGCCAAUAUUUCCUGCGAGCUCGAGCACCCCUGGGAUGGAGGAUUGUCUCUUAUCAACUACAUUAACUCGGUUGAGAUGAAAGGGAUCUCCGGACCAAUUGAAUUUAAAGAAGGACGCAGAAUACAGUUUAAAUUGGAUCUGCUGAAACUGAAACAACACUCGCUCGUCAAGGUCGGCGAGUGGCGUCCCGGCACCGGCAUCAACGUUACGGAUACCGCAGCCUUCUUCGAGCCUAGCAUCGGGAACGUAACUCUGAUCGUGAUCACUAUAUUGGAGCAGCCGUAUGUAAUGCUGAGGAGCGAGGGGAAUUUCAGCGGAAACGCGCGCUACAAGGGCUUCUGCAUCGACCUGCUGAAGGAGAUAGCGCACAUGGUGGGCUUCGCUUACAGGAUCGAGCUCGUGCCGGACGGCAAGUAUGGCGUUUACGAUUACGAGACCGGCGAAUGGAACGGGAUAGUACGCCAGUUGAUGGAUAAGAAAGCUGAUCUCGCUGUCGGAUCAAUGACGAUUAACUACGCGCGUGAGAGUGUCAUCGAUUUCACGAAGCCGUUCAUGAAUUUGGGCAUCGCGAUCCUCUUCAAGGUGCCAACCAGCCAUCAGGCACGACUGUUCUCCUUCAUGAAUCCAUUAGCGAUUGAGAUCUGGCUGUACGUUCUGGCGGCGUACGUUCUCGUAUCGGUAACCAUGUUCGUCGUGGCGCGGUUCAGUCCCUACGAAUGGAACAAUCCGCAUCCAUGUCACGCCGGGUCGGAAAUUGUCGAGAAUCAGUUCUCUUUAUCGAACAGCUUCUGGUUCACCAUCGGGACCCUCAUGCAACAGGGCAGCGAUUUAAAUCCCAAGGCUACGAGCACGCGUAUCGUGGGAGGCAUAUGGUGGUUCUUCACGUUGAUUAUCAUCUCAUCCUAUACUGCAAAUCUGGCAGCUUUCCUCACGGUGGAAAGGAUGAUUACGCCGAUAGAGAACGCUGAAGAUCUUGCCAGCCAAACUGACAUUGCGUACGGAACUCUCGACAGUGGAAGCACAAUGACUUUCUUCAGGGACUCAAUGAUCGAGACGUACAAGAAAAUGUGGCGAUUCAUGGAAAACAAGAAGCCAUCGGUAUUCGUGCCAACUUACGAAGAGGGUAUUCAACGGGUUCUCCAAGGUGAUUAUGCCUUCCUGAUGGAGUCGACUAUGUUGGAUUACAUUAUCCAAAGAAACUGCAAUCUCACGCAAAUCGGCGGUCUUUUGGACACUAAAGGAUAUGGUAUCGCUACACCUAUGGGCUCUCCAUGGCGAGACAAGAUAUCUCUGGCAAUUCUGGAAUUGCAAGAGAAAGGUGAAAUUCAAAUGCUAUAUGACAAAUGGUGGAAGAGUCCUGGAGAUACUUGCAUGAGAACAGAAAAGGGAAAAGAGAAUAAAGCCAAUUCUCUAGGUGUCGACAACAUAGGUGGAGUUUUCGUGGUCUUACUGUGCGGCCUGGCAUUUGCCGUGCUUAUAGCCAUCUUCGAAUUCUGUUACAAUUCCAGAAGGAAUGCACCGGCGGAACGGCAUAUCAUAUCUAUCGAAGCGGACGAUUAAUCUGACAACUGGAGUGUUGAGAGAUAUGCAUGAAUCGUACGUAAGCAUUGCAUGACGUUCCCUGAAUUUUGUUCUAUCGCUACACUAUGGAUUCAACCGUGUAUCAGCAUGAGCUCAUCGUCCAUUGAAGCAUGCCGCUCGACUGCAACUCGCCCCAAACUCAAUUGCAAAGAGAGCAAAGGCCUCCGAUGCCUUCGACACCUAUUUCGGGUUCUCUUCAGGGGAUUUCUCAGGCUGUGCAACAACAGCAGCAGCAACAACAACAACAAAGCCAGCAACAUCAGCCUCAAUCUCAACAACAAUCGAAUCAAGAAUCACUUUGCUCGG